GCUGGGUUCAGGGUUCGGCACGACAGAUACGCAUUUAAAAUGAAUCUGACGCGGUCUUUGCCUCCUUCUGGCCAUUUGUUCGGUUUUAGUCGCCGUCGUUCAGUCGGAGGCCGACCCCUUCAAGUUCAAGAAAAAGAAGGGCGGCUUCGUGGGAGUCAGAUACCAGCCAGUUCACGUCGUCCAACGACCCGUCUACCAUCGUCCAAGUUAUGGGCACGGACUCCACCAACCUUCCUUCGGUCACAAAGGCUUUGGGCGCCCAAGCUAUGGGCAUGGAGGAUUCCACCGAAAGGGGUUCGGGCGUCCUAGCUAUGGAGGGUACCACGACCAAUCAUCGCCUGACCACGGAGGGUACGGACGACCGAGCUUCGGCCAUGGUGGAUACCAACAAUUUUCCUUUGGCCACGGAGGGUUCAGUAGCCCCAGUUAUGGCCACGGUGGAUACCAACAGUCCAGCUACGGACAUGGUUGGUAAACUGAUUAUGAAAGUGAUUUUACAAACAUAAUAUGGUGACAAAAGUCACUGUUCAUGUUAUCCCUCAUAAUGUUCGAAUUCCGGAAAGAAAAGUUUUGGUAUACUAAGUAAAAUGUAAUUCUAG